rnacentral:sRNA from 1 species
GUGAAAUAAAUCACAUAACAAACAUACACCCCUUUGUUUGAACGUGAACAUUUCUCCCAUCCCCUUUGUGUAAGAGGCGUCAUUAUUAUUCAGAAUAAUGACGCCUC